rnacentral:lncRNA from 1 species
AAUUGAAACUAAAUUGAGGAAAUGGAAAAAUUUUAAUUUUCACGAACUGAAGAAAGCCUACAACCAUGAAACCAACUUUCACUUUCUGAAUCUCACAAACAUAUAUUGUAGUGUUACAUAUUUUCUCUCUAAUACAAACAAAAAACUUGAAAGCAAACAUUUUUGGAUAGAUGCAUCUUCCCAGCAGGGCUUGCACCUCAUCAAAUUUUUGCUGCUCCAUAAACGAAUUAAUCAAAUGACAUGCAGUAUAUGGACUCUCACAGAAGUCAUGAAUAACAAAUGCAAAGAUAAAGAAAAGCCACACACUUUACAAGAGCAAAGAAAAUGAAGGGAUAAAGAAAGUAAGAAGGGAAUACCUUUGUGGGAGGACUCUUAUUUGCUUCUAGGGUCUUUCCACCACUUGCUUUAAGAUGAUUCUUAUAUGACAAUCCACCCUCAAGAACAACCAACAAUGGAUGCGGAAAGUAUACAAAUAUUCCUCAUGAAAAAUAAGUUCACAAGUAUUACAAAAUAAGUCCACCCUCCAUAAUAACUGACUGUGCUUUACUAAAUUGUUCAGACUCAUCACACUUUGCAUAAGGUUACAUGGCUAAUUGUUCAAGGUUCAGAUUUGGUGCAGAAAUAUUAUCAUCUUCAUUUUGAUUCCAGUAUUCAAACACAAAGAUCAGGGUACAUUUUGUAACAAACCAUAGAAAUUGACCAAAUGGAAUUAAUGCUAUUAACAGCGACCAUGGCUAAAAACUGUUGAAGACUAACUGACAUAAUCUCUAGCUUGAUGUCAGUGAGAAAAGACUCACUCAACUAACAUAGACUACAAUAUAUUCAUCAGAAGCCAACACAAAUAUAGUCGAAUUCAAAACACAAUCAGUCCAAAAUUACACUUACAAAGAGUUAAUUAAAAUCAGUACCUACAAGUUCCAGAUCUGCCAUCUCAAAGAUUCAUAUUCCUCACUUCGAGUUGUAAAAGUAACUUUUGGGUUGGGGAUAAUACAUUCAGCUCAUGGUCACCUGAAUCAAAGAAAUAUAUAAGUAUGCAUAUUAUUUAUGGUCAAAGUGAGUUGCUUAUUUUAAUCACAUACCUAGUAAAUAUUUGUUUAAGUUAGCAUAGACAGUACAACGAUAUUGCAUUUUCCAUGAUGAAACUUGUACUAACAUGAUUAAACAUUAGCACCUUAAGAACUUCACAUCUGAAUACAUUUUUUUUGUAUUUCACUUUUGGUUUCAUCUCUACCUGGAUCCAAUUACUAAAUCCUCUUCUUUCAAUGCUGCCACACCAUAAAAGAAAAGUAAAAAAUGAAUAAAUACUUAUUGGGGGAGGGGUGGAAUCAAGACAACUCCUAAUAAAUCAAUAAAAAAAAACUUACGCUUUUCCAAAAAUUGAAGAUCCAAAAUCCUAAAAUUCUAAGCAACAUGGCUCCGUAAAUAUAAUAAUAGAUAUGAAAUUUUUCCAUACAAAUACAGAAUACGAACCAGCAAUGGGGGCGUGACAAGGGCAGGGCCUUUGAGGUUACAAAGACAGAGAGAACAAGGCCCUAAACCGCUCCAAUAUGAGUUCGAUCGGGUUGACCAAACCAGUCACCGACAAACUUCACAGUAUGAAUUAACCAAAAAUCCAUCAUAUUCAUAUCCAAAAUUGCAUGCAGCGGGCAAGUUGAAAAAAAAUGUAAAAUAAAUUCAAAACUAAAAUCCAUAAACAACGAGGCGAGAUACAAAAUAUUAUGUUAGAUCUCACAAGACAUAAACUCAAAACGAAAAAACACGAACUCAAAUAUGAUGCAUGGGUGGUGUUGGUGUUUUUCAAAGAAAAAAAACAAAGGAAAAACCCAGAUAUGAGAGGAGUGAGAGAGAGAGGGAGGUAUAGAGAGACCCUAAUCCAAAAGCCCUAAUUCAGAGACCAUUUUCAAAAGUCCUAAUUCAGAACCCAUGUUCAAAAUCACUAACCGAAUUCAAAAUAAAACAAUAUCCAUGAACUUUGGUUGAGUUUAUUGCAUGAUAUUCUUACCUUAUAGAGUGAGGAGGAGUGAGGACUAAGACUGAGAGCUCGAUUCGGGCAAGGUGGUGUGGACAGUGGGUGGAAUCGCAAUUCAGGGGAUGAAUUCACGAAGUGAAGACUGAGAAUUGAGGACCGGUGUGGGUGGAGUCACGAUUCAGGCGACGAAUUUGGAUGAUCCCACUGAUGUGGGAGGAUAGAGGAAGACGGAGAGCUCGAUUUGGAUUUGGGCGAAGGAGGCGAAUUGUGUCACAGCCCGUCCCGGAGGUACUUUUGACGGGAAUGUGAAAUGACAGAAAUACCCUUGUCAUUUCUAAGGUGCGUAACGUUAUGUUGAUUUUAGCUUUGAUUAAUUGGGAGAAUUGCAUAUUAGUAAGUUGGAUUAUAUUAAAAAAUUAACUUGGUUGUUUUGAUUAGGAUGAAAAAUGGAUGGUGUGGAUUUGUUUAGACCACACACAAGACCCUCCCUGUUUCUCCUUCCCCGUGCCUUCCCUGUCUUCCUCUCCCUCACGAACUCACACCCUCACACACCCAUAUUGUACGGCAUUCACCCAAAACCCUUCAAAACUCGACGGAUCGAGGCAAAUAAGGUAUGUAUCUUCAUCGUUUUGACGUCCUGAGUUCAUUGGUACUAGUUUUAGGAAGUGAAACCUUCGAUUUCACGUAGAUCCCGAACCUCCAUUUUUGAGGUACUGUUCAUGCAGUCGUUAAAUGUCGCGUUUCAGGGAAUUUCAAGCUUGUGGCGAGCUUUAGGAGGUCCUAAGGAAGCUCGGGGACGUUCGUUGGAGAAUUUUGGACGCCGGGAUCGUAGGUUUCAAGUUUGGCCGAAUCUUUGGUUUUUGCUAGGUGAGAUUUCGUAGUUUUUAGGCCCUAAAACUAGUCCAACGUGAUAGUACACUCUUAGGGCUUCAAUUUGGUAUAAAAUACGAAGAAAAUGGGUGAAAAACGAAGGAGAACAGUGGGUUUGAAAAUCGGCCGGAGGUUGGCCGGAGUCCGGCCGUCGGAAAACCAGUCCGGCGAGGCCCUGCGAAGAAGACGACACGUGCGCUGCACGUGCUGCGCGUGGCCAGCGCGUGAAGCCGUGCCACGUGUGGCGCGUGGGGGCGCGUGGGGCUUCCAAAAAUUUUUCUAAAAAUAUCCCGACGCUCGUGACGUCGAGUAGGUCGAUAUGGUAUAUUCAUAUACCAAAAUUGAGCAUCGUAUGAGAAAUUAUUUCGAAUUAUUGGUGAUAUGUUUAAAAUUAACGUUUUUAUAGUUAUUUCGCAUAUAGGUGAGACGUAUCACGAGGACGACCGCAUCCAGGGACGCCACGGGGGUUACGACCCGUCGACUUAUCAGUGAGUGGGCAGUUUUGUUUUCGUAUUACCUUUAUACUAUCGAUUUUUCCCAGAAAAUGAAUUUAUACGAAAUUAUGUUCUAAAAAUGCCAUGCAUAGAAUUAAUUAAUAAAUAUGAAUUCCACAUGAGAUAUGAUUGAUAUAUGAUGCAUACAUGUUGCAUGGUGCCGUGGAGGCACAGGUAAGUCAGGUGAGUUCAUUUAUUCAUUGAAUGGUUGUUGUUGAGAUGUUUUAAGCUCAUAACCUGCACCCUAGGUGUUAGUGCUUAUUUUAUUCACCACACCGCACGCUCGCCUUGGAUCCAAGUAGGUGGAUGUCGUACAGACCAUGUGAGGGUUCCGACAUGCCAGUCGUACAGACCAUUAGAGGGGUUCCGACUGGUGGGUGACCUUAGAUAUGCGCGCUGAUGAUAUGAUGAGUGAAGCACUAGAGCGUAUUUUUACACCUUUCAUCGUAUAGACUACCUUACGUAGUUCCGAGUGAUGUGCAGAGUAGGGCCGUAUAGGUCACUGUGGUGACUCCGGCUUAGUGGGAUUUGAGCUAUUGAAUUAAUCGUAUAGGACCAACUGCAGGGUCUCCGAUUGAUUCCUUAUUUCACCUGAUUUAUAUUUUGAUUUAUGGCAUGGCAUGUUUUCUUGAAAAUGUUAAAGAUUUGGGAUUUAAGUUUUGAGAUUUUAUAUGGUUAUAUAUAUUUCUGGGAAAGUAUACAGGUUUUUACGGCGAGGGGAUAUAACUGUUUUAAUGAACUGUUUUGGAAAACUAAUUUGUUUUACUGACCCACUCAUUUUGUUUUGCGCCCCUCCAGGUUCUAGUUUAGCGGUGGUUGGCUCACGAGGUCUUUUCCGGCUUUCUGACAGACUUUCGACAUGUAGGACUCACCUGAGGGUGAUGUAUCUUAUUUUAGUCCUACUUGACUGCAGUUAACCUAUGCUCUGAACUUAUGUGUUUACCCUACGACUCGUCUGGUUAUGUUUAAGUUGGUUUGAAUUUCUGCUGUUUAAUAUUGUUUCCGCCUCCGUGUUGUGCUUAUGGUUACGUCACGCCUACGUGACGGCCAGCACACCUGGAUCCUCCGGAUCGGGGUGUGUCAAAUUGGGUGAGAGAGACAGUGAUAGUGAGGUGAGGUGAGAGUGAGGUUACUAGGGUUGUUUGUACCAUACUUAGGGUCUUCGUAUUUAGACCUCAUAUAAAUACUUAGGGGACUCAAAUGUAAUUAUGUAAUAAAUGAAGGGGCAAAUAUGUAAUAAGUGAGGAGCCCUUAUUCUACAAAAGGACCCCUUACUCUCCUCAUUGAAGGAGACCAAUUCUUAGGCCAUUGGAAGAGCUCUCUCACCCUCUCAUCCUCUCACAAACAGAGAAAUACAAUAUUAGUGUGGACGUAGCCCAAACAUUGGGGUGAACCACAAUAUAUCUUGUGUUAUUUACUUUCUUGCAGAUUCACGGUCGGAUUUACAUUGUUCCAAGACCUCCGGUUUUGUGCACCAACAUUUGGCGCCGUCUGUGGGAAUCGACACAAAAAACUAUAUCGGUUCUCUUUCAUUUUUUCACCUCCACCGUGAAUCUGUAAAAUCUGCAAAAACACUUAACAACCCAGAGCUUUUCCAGAAUACUUUCGCAUACCUCCAACCACCUCUUUCUCCUAUCUCAGUUAGUCACACAUGGAAGCCAAAACAAAAAAAAAAGAAACUUUCCCAUCUCUGUAACCAAACACAAAUCGAUGCUUUAAACCCGUGACCAAACACAAAGCUUCAUCCUCUCCAACAAGUCUACGUAGACCUUCAUAGCCGGCGACCUCGUUGGCUCCGCCAUCAUCUU